CCCUACGGGGCGCAGCAGUGAGGAAUAUUGGUCAAUGGACGAGAGUCUGAACCAGCCAAGUAGCGUGAAGGAUGACUGCCCUAUGGGUUGUAAACUUCUUUUAUAAAGGAAUAAAACGAGGCACGUGUGCCUUUUUGCAUGUACUUUAUGAAUAAGGAUCGGCUAACUCCGUGCCAGCAGCCGCGGUAAUACGGAGGAUCCGAGCGUUAUCCAGAUUUAUUGGGUUCAAAGGGAGCGUAGAUGGGUUGUUAAGUCAAUUGUGAAAGUUUG
rnacentral:rRNA from 1 species